UACGUAGGGGGCGAGCGUUGUCCGGAUUUAUUGGGCGUAAAAGGCUUGUAGGUGGCCACGUCAAGUCGGAUGUGAAAUCUCCCGGCUCAACUGGGAGGGGUCAUUCGAUACUGGCGGGCUCGAGGCCGGUAGGGGGAAGCGGAAUUCCCGGUGUAGUGGUGGAAUGCGUAGAUAUCGGGAGGAACACCAGUGGCGAAGGCGG
rnacentral:rRNA from 1 species